UAAGGAAUAUUGGUCAAUGGACGCAAGUCUGAACCAGCCAUGCCGCGUGGAGGAUUAAGGCCCUCUGGGUUGUAAACUCCUUUUAUCUGGGAAGAAAUGUACUUUUUCUUGAGUACUUGACGGUACCAGAGGAAUAAGCACCGGCUAACUCCGUGCCAGCAGCCGCGGUAAUACGGAGGGUGCAAGCGUUAUCCGGAUUCACUGGGUUUAAAGGGUGCGUAGGCGGGCAGGUAAGUCAGUGGUGAAAUCUCCGGGCUUAACCCGGAAACUGCCGUUGAUACUACUUGUCUUGAAUAUUGUGGAGGUAAGCGGAAUAUGUCAUGUAGCGGUGAAAUGCUUAGAUAUGACAUAGAACACCAAUUGCGAAGGCAGCUUACUACACAAUCAUUGACGCUGAGGCACGAAAGCGUGGGGAUCAAACA
rnacentral:rRNA from 1 species